GCUCAACCGAGGAAGUGCUUCGAAAACUGGUAAACUUGAGUGCAGAAGAGGAAAGUGGAACUCCAUGUGUAGCGGUGGAAUGCGUAGAUAUAUGGAAGAACACCAGUGGCGAAGGCGGCUUUCUGGUCUGUAACUGACGCUGAGAUUCGAAAGCAUGGGUAGCAAACAGGAUUAGAUACCCUGGUAGUCCAUGCCGUAAACGAUGAGUGCUAAGUGUUGGAGGGUUUCCGCCCUUCAGUGCUGCAGCUAACGCAUUAAGCACUCCGCCUGGGGAGUACGAUCGCAAGAUUGAAACUCAAAGGAAUUGACGGGGGCCCGCACAAGCGGUGGAGCAUGUGGUUUAAUUCGAAGCAACGCGAAGAACCUUACCAGGUCUUGACAUACCAUGAAAAGCUUAGAGAUAAGUCUUUCCCUUCGGGGACAUGGAUACAGGUGGUGCAUGGUUGUCGUCAGCUCGUGUCGUGAGAUGUUGGGUUAAGUCCCGCAACGAGCGCAACCCUUAUUAUCAGUUGCCAGCAUUCAGUUGGGCACUCUGGUGAGACUGCCGGUGAUAAACCGGAGGAAGGUGGGGACGACGUCAAAUCAUCAUGCCCCUUAUGACCUGGGCUACACACGUGCUACAAUGGACGGUACAACG
rnacentral:rRNA from 1 species